CCCCCCCCCCCCCGGCCCCGCCAAAGACAUGACUACAAAUAAUUAAGGAUCUCAAGAUAAGAUCAUUCUGGAUUAUCCAAAUUGCCACUGACUCCAAUGACAAACGAGUAUCCUUAAAAGAGACAGGAGAAAAGCAGAGGGGAACAAUCAGAGGAGAGGGGGCCACGUGAAGACAGAGGCAGAGGUCGGAACAAGGCAGCCACGAGGCGAGGAAGGCUUGGGGCCACCGGGAGCUGGAAGAGGCAAGGAAGGGUCCUUCCCCAGAGCCUUCGGAGGGAGCGCGGCCAUGCUGACCCCUCGGUUUGGGACCUGAAGCCUCCAGAACAGCGGGAGAAGACGUUUCUGUUGCUCCAAGCCAUCAAGUUUGUGGUGAUUUGCUACAGCGGUCCUAAGAGACCCAGACACCGACGCACAGACACGCGCACACACGGUUCUGCCCCCCAAAAGAAUUGCAGAAAGAAAACUAAGUAGGGAGAAAUACCCAUAUCCUGGUACUUCAGCUUGUGAAAACCUCGCGUGCGCAGAAAAGCCCCGUCUUCCCUACCUGAGGGAGGGAUCCCUGGGAGGGAUUGAUUCUCUCCAAGUCUCUUUCUUUGCUCCCUCUCCCGGGUCAGAGAAAGGCCGCUGGAUUCACUCAGCUGCUUUAAACAGUUGCCCGCUUGUUUUGCUUCCAAACUCACGUGCUCUCUCAAUCACAGGGGAGCCUGGCUGAACAAAGCCUGACAUGUCCUAGCUCUUGGGUCUGUGCCUGGAGUCGACAACCCUCACCAGGCAGGCUGAACAAAACUCCCAGGAUGUCCCCGCAGAAGUCCCUCGGCUGCCUGCAUGUGGCCCUCCCUUCCUUCCCUCCCCUGAAGACAGCGCAGCGUGUCUGGAGGCUCCAUGGUGAGCGAAGAAUGUUCUCCAAGUGGAAUCAUACAGGCUGCCUCCAUAGCCCUGGUGGCUUCAGGAGGUCAAGGUCAAGGUGCACCCCCACCCCAGCUCUGGAUAACCCAACUUUGAGAAAGGGUAGUCAGGGGUGUGGGGCAGCUUUGUUUACUGCCCCAAAGCGAAGCUUUCCUGAAGCCCAGGGCCCUCUCGAUGCGCUGGCCUCCAGGCCUGACCACCGUAGUGUUCCAAGGGGGACUUCAGAUCUUGGCACGCUCCGUGGGCACACCAGUUCCUGUGAACUGAGACGUCCGUGUAGUUUGGAACGAAAGGGCAUCAUGCUUUCAUGGUAGAGGUGGUGACCUUCCACAGCGGGGACGUUACCAGCCAAGGUAUCAACACAACUGGAAUGGAAUCUCUCUCCAGCUUCAGGUUUGAUAUAAGGAACUACAUGGAAGUGAGACAUCGUGUGUUUCUACCUCCAAAAUAUUUGAAUCAGCAAGUGUCCUUGCAAAUAAGAAGUUGACUUUUCGAGAGGAUUUUAUUACAAACAUGCGUAUUGCAAACACAUUUCCUUUAUUACGCCUUAACAGAAGACCCAACUGAUAUUAAUGAUUCUCCUACUUCAUAUCCCACGAGUUGUAUGGCAACCACGAAACAGGGUCAGGAUAAAAUGAGAAG